ACGCUGGCGGCAGGCUUAACACAUGCAAGUCGAACGGUAACAGGAAUUAGCUUGCUAAUUUGCUGACGAGUGGCGGACGGGUGAGUAAUGCUUGGGAAUCUGGCUUGUGGAGGGGGAUAACUACGGGAAACUGUAGCUAAUACCGCGUAAAAUCUUCGGAUUAAAGGGUGGGACUUUCGAGCCACCUGCCAUAAGAUGAGCCCAAGUGGGAUUAGGUAGUUGGUUAGGUAAAGGCUGACCAAGCCGACGAUCUCUAGCUGGUCUGAGAGGAUGACCAGCCACACUGGAACUGAGACACGGUCCAGACUCCUACGGGAGGCAGCAGUGGGGAAUAUUGCACAAUGGGGGGAACCCUGAUGCAGCCAUGCCGCGUGAAUGAAGAAGGCCUUCGGGUUGUAAAGUUCUUUCGGUGACGAGGAAGGUUGAUAGGUUAAUAGCCUAUCAAAUUGACGUUAAUCACAGAAGAAGCACCGGCUAACUCCGUGCCAGCAGCCGCGGUAAUACGGGGGGUGCGAGCGUUAAUCGGAAUAACUGGGCGUAAAGGGCACGCAGGCGGUGACUUAAGUGAGAUGUGAAAGCUCCGAGCUUAACUUGGGAAUUGCAUUUCAUACUGGGUCGCUAGAGUACUUUAGGGAGGGGUAGAAUUCCACGUGUAGCGGUGAAAUGCGUAGAGAUGUGGAGGAAUACCGAAGGCGAAGGCAGCCCCUUGGGAAUGUACUGACGCUCAUGUGCGAAAGCGUGGGGAGCAAACAGGAUUAGAUACCCUGGUAGUCCACGCUGUAAACGAUGUCGAUUUGGGGAUUGGGCUUUGAGCUUGGUGCCCGUAGCUAACGUGAUAAAUCGACCGCCUGGGGAGUACGGCCGCGAGGUUAAAACUCAAAUGAAUUGACGGGGGCCCGCACAAGCGGUGGAGCAUGU
rnacentral:rRNA from 1 species